rnacentral:rRNA from 1 species
CCUACGGGAGGCUGCAGUGAGGAAUAUUGGUCAAUGGACGAGAGUCUGAACCAGCCAAGUAGCGUGAAGGAUGACUGCCCUAUGGGUUGUAAACUUCUUUUAUAUGGGAAUAAAAUGUUCCACGUGUGGGAUUUUGUAUGUACCAUAUGAAUAAGGAUCGGCCAACUCCGUGCCAGCAGCCGCGGUAAUACGGAGGAUCCGAGCGUUAUCCGGAUUUAUUGGGUUUAAAGGGAGCGUAGGUGGAUUGUUAAGUCAGUUGUGAAAGUUUGCGGCUCAACCGUAAAAUUGCAGUUGAAACUGGCAGUCUUGAGUACAGUAGAGGUGGGCGGAAUUCGUGGUGUAGCGGUGAAAUGCUUAGAUAUCACGAAGAACUCCGAUUGCGAAGGCAGUUCACUGGACUGCAACUGACACUGAGGCUCGAAAGUGUGGGUAUCAAACAGGAUUAGAUACCCGUGUAGUC